AUGCGCCAAGUACAAGAGCUUCUCGACAAAGGUUAUAUACGCGAAUCCCCUAGUCCUUGUGCUGUUCCUAUUAUUCUAGUGCCGAAAAAGGAUGGUACAUCACGUAUGUGUGUUGAUUGUAGAGGCAUUAAUAAUAUUACUAUUCGUUAUCGUCAUCCUAUUCCUAGGCUAGAUGAUAUGCUUGAUGAAUUGAGUGGCUCUACAAUAUUCUCCAAAGUUGAUUUGCGUAGUGGAUACCAUCAAAUUCAUAUGAAAUUGGGAGAUGAAUGGAAAACAGCAUUCAAAACUAAGUUUGGAUUAUAUGAGUGGUUAGUCAUGCCUUUUGGGUUAACUAAUGCACCUAGUACUUUCUUGAGAUUAAUGAACGAAGUUUUACGUGCUUUCAUUGGACGAUUUGUGGUAGUUUACUUUGAUGACAUAUUGAUUUAUAGCAGAUCUUUGGAAGAACAUUUGGAACAUUUACGUGCUGUUUUUAUUGCUCUACGUGAUGCACGUUUGUUUGGUAACCUUGGGAAGUGCACCUUUUGCACCGACCGAGUAUCUUUUCUUGGCUAUGUUGUUACUCCACAGGGAAUUGAAGUUGAUAAAGCCAAGAUUGAAGCUAUUGAGAGUUGGCCGCAACCCAAAAUGGUCACACAAGAGAGGAGUUUUCUUGGCCUCGCUAGAUUCUAUAGGCGUUUUGUGAGAGAUUUCAGCACCAUUGCUGCACCUCUCAAUGAGCUUACAAAGAAAGAUGUGCCUUUUCUUUGGGGUACCGCACAGGAAGAAGCCUUCUCGGUAUUGAAAGAUAAGUUGACACAUGCUCCUUUACUCCAACUUCCUGAUUUUAAUAAGACUUUUGAGCUUGAAUGUGAUGCUAGUGGAAUUGGAUUAGGCGGCGUGUUAUUACAAGAUGGCAAACCUGUUGCAUACUUUUCUGAAAAAUUGAGUGGGCCUAGUCUGAAUUAUUCUACUUAUGAUAAAGAAUUAUAUGCUCUUGUUCGGACUUUAGAAACAUGGCAACAUUAUUUAUGGCCCAAAGAAUUUGUUAUACAUUCUGAUCAUGAAUCUUUGAAACAUAUUAAAAGUCAAGCUAAACUGAAUCAUAGACAUGCUAAAUGGGUUGAAUUCAUUGAGACUUUUCCUUAUGUCAUUAAACACAAGAAGGAAAAAGAAAAUGUUAUUGCUGAUGCAUUGUCUCGCCGCUAUACUAUGCUUUCAAAACUUGACUUCAAAAUAUUUGGUUUGGAGACCAUCAAAGAUCAAUAUGUGCAUGAUGCUGAUUUUAAAGAUGUAAUGCAGAAUUGUAAAGAAGGAAGAAUGUGGAACAAGUUCGUCGUUAACGAUGGAUUUGUGUUUCGUGCUAACAAGUUGUGCAUUCCAGCUAGCUCCGUUCGUCUUUUGUUGUUGCAGGAGGCGGAUGGAGGGGGAUUAAUGGGACACUUUGGCGUGAAGAAGACGGAGGACGUACUUGCUACACAUUUCUUUUGGCCAAAGAUGAGACGUGAUGUUGAGCGUUUUAUUGCUCGAUGCACUACAUGUCAAAAAGCUAAGUCACGACUCAAUCCUCAUGGUUUAUAUAUGCCUUUGCCUGUACCUAGUGUUCCUUGGGAGGAUAUAUCUAUGGACUUUGUUUUAGGUUUACCUCGAACAAAGAAGGGGAGGGAUAGCAUAUUUGUUGUCGUGGAUAGAUUCUCGAAAAUGGCACACUUUAUACCAUGUCAUAAAAGCGAUGAUGCUGUUAAUGUUGCUGAUUUGUUCUUUCGUGAAAUUAUUUGCUUGCAUGGUGUGCCAAAUACUAUUGUUUCAGAUCGUGAUACUAAAUUUCUUAGCCACUUUUGGAGAUGUUUAUGGGCUAAGUUGGGGACUAAACUACUUUUUAGUACUACUUGUCACCCCAAACUGAUGGACAAACUGAAGUAG
rnacentral:rRNA from 1 species